rnacentral:rRNA from 1 species
GGGUUGUGAGGUUAAGCGACUAAGCGUACACGGUGGAUGCCCUGGCAGUCAGAGGCGAUGAAGGACGUGCUAAUCUGCGAUAAGCGUCGGUAAGGUGAUAUGAACCGUUAUAACCGGCGAUUUCCGAAUGGGGAAACCCAGUGUGUUUCGACACACUAUCAUUAACUGAAUCCAUAGGUUAAUGAGGCGAACCGGGGGAACUGAAACAUCUAAGUACCCCGAGGAAAAGAAAUCAACCGAGAUUCCCCCAGUAGCGGCGAGCGAACGGGGAGCAGCCCAGAGCCUGAAUCAGUGUGUGUGUUAGUGGAAGCGUCUGGAAAGGCGCGCGAUACAGGGUGACAGCCCCGUACACAAAAAUGCACAUGCUGUGAGCUCGAUGAGUAGGGCGGGACACGUGGUAUCCUGUCUGAAUAUGGGGGGACCAUCCUCCAAGGCUAAAUACUCCUGACUGACCGAUAGUGAACCAGUACCGUGAGGGAAAGGCGAAAAGAACCCCGGCGAGGGGAGUGAAAAAGAACCUGAAACCGUGUACGUACAAGCAGUGGGAGCACGCUUAGGCGUGUGACUGCGUACCUUUUGUAUAAUGGGUCAGCGACUUAUAUUCUGUAGCAAGGUUAACCGAAUAGGGGAGCCGAAGGGAAACCGAGUCUUAACUGGGCGUUAAGUUGCAGGGUAUAGACCCGAAACCCGGUGAUCUAGCCAUGGGCAGGUUGAAGGUUGGGUAACACUAACUGGAGGACCGAACCGACUAAUGUUGAAAAAUUAGCGGAUGACUUGUGGCUGGGGGUGAAAGGCCAAUCAAACCGGGAGAUAGCUGGUUCUCCCCGAAAGCUAUUUAGGUAGCGCCUCGUGAAUUCAUCUCCGGGGGUAGAGCACUGUUUCGGCAAGGGGGUCAUCCCGACUUACCAACCCGAUGCAAACUGCGAAUACCGGAGAAUGUUAUCACGGGAGACACACGGCGGGUGCUAACGUCCGUCGUGAAGAGGGAAACAACCCAGACCGCCAGCUAAGGUCCCAAAGUCAUGGUUAAGUGGGAAACGAUGUGGGAAGGCCCAGACAGCCAGGAUGUUGGCUUAGAAGCAGCCAUCAUUUAAAGAAAGCGUAAUAGCUCACUGGUCGAGUCGGCCUGCGCGGAAGAUGUAACGGGGCUAAACCAUGCACCGAAGCUGCGGCAGCGACGCUUAUGCGUUGUUGGGUAGGGGAGCGUUCUGUAAGCCUGUGAAGGUGUGCUGUGAGGCAUGCUGGAGGUAUCAGAAGUGCGAAUGCUGACAUAAGUAACGAUAAAGCGGGUGAAAAGCCCGCUCGCCGGAAGACCAAGGGUUCCUGUCCAACGUUAAUCGGGGCAGGGUGAGUCGACCCCUAAGGCGAGGCCGAAAGGCGUAGUCGAUGGGAAACAGGUUAAUAUUCCUGUACUUGGUGUUACUGCGAAGGGGGGACGGAGAAGGCUAUGUUGGCCGGGCGACGGUUGUCCCGGUUUAAGCGUGUAGGCUGGUUUUCCAGGCAAAUCCGGAAAAUCAAGGCUGAGGCGUGAUGACGAGGCACUACGGUGCUGAAGCAACAAAUGCCCUGCUUCCAGGAAAAGCCUCUAAGCAUCAGGUAACAUCAAAUCGUACCCCAAACCGACACAGGUGGUCAGGUAGAGAAUACCAAGGCGCUUGAGAGAACUCGGGUGAAGGAACUAGGCAAAAUGGUGCCGUAACUUCGGGAGAAGGCACGCUGAUAUGUAGGUGAAGUCCCUCGCGGAUGGAGCUGAAAUCAGUCGAAGAUACCAGCUGGCUGCAACUGUUUAUUAAAAACACAGCACUGUGCAAACACGAAAGUGGACGUAUACGGUGUGACGCCUGCCCGGUGCCGGAAGGUUAAUUGAUGGGGUUAGCGGUAACGCGAAGCUCUUGAUCGAAGCCCCGGUAAACGGCGGCCGUAACUAUAACGGUCCUAAGGUAGCGAAAUUCCUUGUCGGGUAAGUUCCGACCUGCACGAAUGGCGUAAUGAUGGCCAGGCUGUCUCCACCCGAGACUCAGUGAAAUUGAACUCGCUGUGAAGAUGCAGUGUACCCGCGGCAAGACGGAAAGACCCCGUGAACCUUUACUAUAGCUUGACACUGAACAUUGAGCCUUGAUGUGUAGGAUAGGUGGGAGGCUUUGAAGUGUGGACGCCAGUCUGCAUGGAGCCGACCUUGAAAUACCACCCUUUAAUGUUUGAUGUUCUAACGUUGACCCGUAAUCCGGGUUGCGGACAGUGUCUGGUGGGUAGUUUGACUGGGGCGGUCUCCUCCUAAAGAGUAACGGAGGAGCACGAAGGUUGGCUAAUCCUGGUCGGACAUCAGGAGGUUAGUGCAAUGGCAUAAGCCAGCUUGACUGCGAGCGUGACGGCGCGAGCAGGUGCGAAAGCAGGUCAUAGUGAUCCGGUGGUUCUGAAUGGAAGGGCCAUCGCUCAACGGAUAAAAGGUACUCCGGGGAUAACAGGCUGAUACCGCCCAAGAGUUCAUAUCGACGGCGGUGUUUGGCACCUCGAUGUCGGCUCAUCACAUCCUGGGGCUGAAGUAGGUCCCAAGGGUAUGGCUGUUCGCCAUUUAAAGUGGUACGCGAGCUGGGUUUAGAACGUCGUGAGACAGUUCGGUCCCUAUCUGCCGUGGGCGCUGGAGAACUGAGGGGGGCUGCUCCUAGUACGAGAGGACCGGAGUGGACGCAUCACUGGUGUUCGGGUUGUCAUGCCAAUGGCACUGCCCGGUAGCUAAAUGCGGAAGAGAUAAGUGCUGAAAGCAUCUAAGCACGAAACUUGCCCCGAGAUGAGUUCUCCCUGACUCCUUGAGAGUCCUGAAGGAACGUUGAAGACGACGACGUUGAUAGGCCGGGUGUGUAAGCGCAGCGAUGCGUUGAGCUAACCGGUACUAAUGAACCGUGAGGCUUAACCUUACAACGCCGAAG